rnacentral:rRNA from 1 species
UACGGGGGGGGCAAGCGUUGUUCGGAAUUACUGGGCGUAAAGGGCUCGUAGGCGGCCAACUAAGUCAGACGUGAAAUCCCCAGGCUCAACCUGGGAACUGCGUCUGAUACUGGAUGGCUUGAAUCCGGGAGAGGGAUGCAGAAUUCCAGGUGUAGCGGUGAAAUGCGUAGAUAUCUGGAGGAAUACCGGUGGCGAAGGCGGCAUCCUCGGACCGGCAUUGACGCUGAGGAGCGAAAGCCAGGGGAGCAAACGGG